CUACGUGCCAGCAGCCGCGGUAAUACGGAAGGUCCAGGCGUUAUCCGGAUUUAUUGGGUUUAAAGGGAGCGUAGGCUGGAGAUUAAGUGUGUUGUGAAAUGUAGACGCUCAACGUCUGAAUUGCAGCGCAUACUGGUUUCCUUGAGUACGCACAACGUUGGCGGAAUUCGUCGUGUAGCCGUGAAAUGCUUAGAUAUGACGAAGAACUCCGAUUGCGAAGGCAGCUGACGGGAGCGCAACUGACGCUUAAGCUCGAAGGUGCGGGUAUCGAACAGGAUUAGAUACCCUGGUAGUCCGCACAGUAAACGAUGGAUGCCCGCUGUUGGUAUCUGGUAUCAGCGGCUAAGCGAAAGCAUUAAGCAUCCCACCUGGGGAGUACGCCGGCAACGGUGAAACUCAAAGAAAUUGACGGGGGCCCGCACAAGCGGAGGAACAUGUGGUUUAAUUCGAUGAUACGCGAGGAACCUUACCCGGGCUUGAA
rnacentral:rRNA from 1 species